GCAAAGGCAGCCAACAAAGAAUCCAAAUUCCCCUAAUUCCCAAAUCGUGAAAGAAAGUCAAACCCUUUUCCUUCCUUCUCCACUCUCCAAUCCACAUGGCGCACCCGACACUUCGUCUCCAAUCUAUAAUUCAAAUUUCCCUUCAAAGUCGAAGAAGAGGCAAGGCAGGUAGGCUCUAGGCGGCACAGAUUCAUUAGACAUUUGACGCAAUUUCGGAAUCUCUGGUUUCAAAAAAAUCACGAGAUUGGAGAGGAUGUGUUUUGCAACUUCUGUUGUGGACUGUCGAGCCGAGUCCGAGUCUGAGUCUGCUGACUAGUGACUCUUUCUCCCUCUCUUCAUCUUUUUUUUUUUUUUUGUUUAAUUUCGUUGGCUACUUGAGUUAUCGAUGUUGAGUGAUGAAUGUUUAAUUGUUAAUUAUGUUAUGAUUAUUGACUUAUUGUGUCGGGAAUUUAUGUUUACAAAAUUAUGUUUGUGAAUUGUGGUUUAUGAUAAGUAAUUUACGAUUUAUGAGUUAUGAUUA